rnacentral:rRNA from 1 species
UACGGAGGGUGCGAGCGUUGUCCGGAAUCACUGGGCGUAAAGGGCGCGUAGGCGGCUUGCCACGCGUGCGGUGAAAGUCCGGGGCUCAACCCUGGAUCGGCCGUGCGGACGGGCAGGCUCGAGCACAGUAGAGGCGAGUGGAAUUCCGGGUGUAGCGGUGGAAUGCGUAGAGAUCCGGAAGAACACCAGUGGCGAAGGCGGCUCGCUGGGCUGUGGCUGACGCUGAGGCGCGACAGCGUGGGGAGCAAACAGG